rnacentral:lncRNA from 1 species
GCCAGGCGGCCCGGCACCGCUACGAGGUCGUGACGGAGCUGGGCCCGGAGGAGGUGCGCUGGUUCUACAAGGAAGACAAGAAGACCUGGAAGCCCUUCAUCGGCUACGACUCGCUCCGCAUCGAGCUCGCCUUCCGGACCCUGCUGCAGGUCACGGGUGCCCGGCCUCAAGACGAGGACCGGGACGGCGACCAUGUGUGUUCCCCCGCGGGGCGGGCCUCCAGUUCCGGAGAAGACGACGAUGAGGACCGCGCCUGCGGCUUCUGCCCGCGCUCGGCGGGGCACGAGCCCGAGAUGGUGGAGCUGGUGAACAUCGAGCCUGUGUGCGUGCGGGGCGGCCUCUACGAGGUGGAUGUGACCCAAGGAGAGUGCUACCCGGUGUACUGGAACCAGGCUGAUAAAAUACCAGUAAUGCGUGGACAAUGGUUUAUUGAUGGCACUUGGCAGCCUCUAGAAGAAGAAGAAAGUAAUUUAAUUGAGCAAGAACAUCUCAAGUGUUUUAGGGGCCAGCAGAUGCAGGAAAUUUUUGAUAUUGAAGUGUCAAAAUCCAUAGAUGGAAAAGAUGGCAGUGGGAUCAACUUUUCUGCUAUGCAUAGUUUCAAGCUGAGUCGAAACCAUGUGGACUGGCACAGUGUGAAUGAAGUAUAUCUUUAUAGUGAUGCAACAACAUCUAAAAUUGCAAGAACAGUUACCCAAAAACUGGGAUUUUCUAAAGCAUCAAGUAGUGGGACCAGACUUCAUAGAGGUUAUGUAGAAGAAGCCACAUUAGAAGACAAGCCAUCACAGACUACCCAUAUUGUAUUUGUUGUGCAUGGCAUUGGGCAGAAAAUGGACCAAGGAAGAAUUAUCAAAAACACAGCCAUGUAAGUUCUUUGACAAAUACAGUCUAUGUCUAGUCUAGAAUUCACACUUUCGUCCAGGGUAUAAGAAAUAUUAACAGUAUACUAAUUCCA